rfam:Kwoniella heveanensis BCC8398 unplaced genomic scaffold supercont1.1, whole genome shotgun sequence.
GCCUGCUUGGCCCAAUGGUUAAGGCGUCCGCUUCCUAUGCUGUUUGGAACUCAUAAAGAGUGUCUAAAAUUUGCGACGAGCGGGAGAUUCUGGGUUCGAGUCCCAGGGUGGGUU